GCCCCUAUCGUAUACGGGUUAAUAUAGUUCUCUGAUAAGGAACAGCAGAUGGUUCGACUCCAUCUAGGGGUAC
rnacentral:tRNA from 1 species